rnacentral:rRNA from 1 species
UACGUAGGGUGCAAGCGUUGUCCGGAAUUAUUGGGCGUAAAGAGCUCGUAGGCGGUCUGUCACGUCGGCUGUGAAAACCUGGGGCUCAACCCCGGGCCUGCAUCCGAUACGGGCAGACUAGAGUGUGGUAGGGGAGACUGGAAUUCCUGGUGUAGCGGUGAAAUGCGCAGAUAUCAGGAGGAACACCGGUGGCGAAGGCGGGUCUCUGGGCCGAUACUGACGCUGAGGAGCGAAAGCGUGGGGGAGCGAACAGG